rnacentral:rRNA from 1 species
GACGAACGCUGGCGGCGUGCUUAACACAUGCAAGUCGAACGGUGAAGCGCCUUCCUUUUUGGUGGGUGUGGAUGAGUGGCGAACGGGUGAGUAACACGUGAGUAACCUGCCCCCUUCUUCUGGAUAACCGCAUGAAAGUGUGGCUAAUACGGGAUAUUCUGGGUCUGUCGCAUGAUGGGUCUGGGAAAGAUCUUGUUUCGGUGGGGGAUGGGCUCGCGGCCUAUCAGCUUGUUGGUGGGGUGAUGGCCUACCAAGGCGGUGACGGGUAGCCGGCCUGAGAGGGUGGACGGUCACACUGGGACUGAGACACGGCCCAGACUCCGACGGGAGGCAGCAGUGGGGAAUAUUGCACAAUGGGCGCAAGCCUGAUGCAGCGACGCCGCGUGAGGGAGGGAGGCCUUCGGGUUGUGAACCUCUUUCGCCAGUGAAGCAGGCCUGCCUAGUUUGUGGGUGGGUUGACGGUAGCUGGAUAAGAAGCGCCGGCUAACUACGUG